UUUAAUGCAAUAAUUAAAUGUUUUCAAAACCAAAAAAAUCAUUUUAUUGAAAAGAAACAACUGCUUGGGAAACAAAGGGCAUGAUACAUUAUUGCUGUUUGAGAUGAGGGAAGGACACUGGGUGAGGAACAGGACAAUCACAGAUUUGCGUAUGUCCUGUUAUCAUACUCGUCUUCCUGUCCGAAAUGCUGUGCAAUUAAUGCUGUGCUUCAGGCUGGCUAAAAUGCAUGGUGAUGUGGAUUGAGGGCAGUGGGUAAGGGUCAUAGUUUGCAGGGCUGGGUGGUGAAGCUACAGUUGUUGGAGGCAACUGGUGUAGAUAAGAACCCGGAUGUUGGGGAAAGUGGGGUGGAAGUGACAUGGGGGCACAAGGAAAAGUUUGGGGACAAGGACUGUGCAGGAGUGGGCGGGAGAGGGGGGCAGAAGUUCUCCGCCUGCAUUGCUGCAAGCGCCUGUGUUGCGUCGCCUUGGCGCUCCAUGAUGCUCAGCAGCCAUUCUGUGCUUUGUGCGAUCUGCAUUCUGCUGGUGGACCCUCCUUUCACUCUCGACAUUCCUGCACUCUUUGAUUUUCAUUAAGGGACUUCUGUAGGACUUCAUGCAGCAUGUCCUCUUUGCUUCUUCAUGGACACUUCCUGAUUCUUCAGAGACUUUUGGUUGUUGAUAACAAGGCUGGGAUCUCAAGGUUGCACCUGUAAAGCCAAAAUGCAACACUUAACAGAGGCAGCAUUGUUCACACCAGACAGAGCAAUAAUUCGGCCGUACUCAAAGACAAGCACAGUGUAUACAAUAGCAGAAAUUGCCCAUCCCAAAGUGAGUGCACAUAUUUUGGGGCUCCUGUAGGUUGAGUAAGCAUAGGGGCAAGAGGGACUGAUAGUUUCAGUAUUGUCCCCUGGGGUUCUGUGCCUUGGGAAGAGCCAACAGCUGCAGGGGGCCCCUAUACUGAAUAGUGUCCCCACAUUUUCCACAAGAUGAGUUUGUCCUGGAAGUUCUCGCUGCUGAGGAUGACCUGGGAAGCAAGGGAGGGUCUUCUACCACAAUGCAGCAUCCGUCCUGGCCCAUAUGCAGCUUGUCUGUGUGCAGCAGUGGUGUCUUCCCCACCGUCCAGUCACGGCACAGUGGUGCGGACUUGUUACCCUUACUGGGACAAGGAGCACAGUAGCUCUGCCAAGGAACCUGCACAAGCGAAUUGCCCAGCUUCUGCAUGAGACCUUUGAAGAGAUCACUGAGGCCAAUUACUGCAAUUUGAGAGCGCACAUCAACCCCCUAUUCUCCAUCUAGUUACGCAUGCAGCCCUAACCCUCUUUGUCCCAGGAGCCUGCACCAAACAACUUCCUUCCAAAAAUAAAAGCUGCUUACCGGGCACCUCCUCUGGUGUUCGUUCUUCCCAAAGCGCCAUCUGCUGCGACUGGCUAACAGCUCCUGGCUGCAUGCAUUUAGGGAUGUCGGGCUCGCUCUCUCCUCCUCAGUACCCUCGCUCCCGCUUUCCUCCUGCUGCCUGCCUUGUUGCACUGGGCUCUGAAGUGACCAUAGUGGUCUUCGGAGUGGAGGUGGGGUCACCCCCAAGUAUUGUGUCCAGCUCUCUGUAGAAACAUCAGGUCAUGGGGGCAGCAUUGGAGCGGCAGUUUGCCUUGCGGGCUUUGUGGUAGGCAUUCCACAGCGCCUUUACUUUAACCCUGCACUGCAGUGCAUCCCAGUCAUGGCCCCUUUCCAUCAUGUCCCUUGAUAAACCAGUCAGUUCACUUAACUGUGUCUUUUCUGAAACCCCACAAGAAACUACACUUCCUUGACCUCAGAUGUGACCUGGAGUUCUACCUGCAAAGAACCAAGACCAUUAGAAUGUCUCUGAGGCCCUUUGCUUCCAUAGCAGAAUGAGCAGAGGGCUAAGCUAUAGCCUCAAAGGGAAUUACUAAGUGGGUCUUGGGAUACAUAUUGGAAUGCGGUAAAAUAGCAAAACUUACCUUUCCCAGGGGUGUUAAAAUGCGCUCCAUGUGAGCGCAAGCAGCCUUUGUGGCAUCUUUAUCGGACGUCCCAUUUCAGGACAUCUGCAAAGCAGCAACGUGGCGAUCUAGCCACUCGUUGAUGGCACACUAUGCCCUGAUUCAAGCGUCAGCUGUGGUUGCAGCAGGAGGAAGGUCUGUAUUACAAACUACUCUACUAGCCUCCUUGCAUCAAUAUCCACACUGAUCAGUGCUUGCAAGGCACCCACGUGUAGAAUAUGCACUCGAAGGAGAAGAGGAGGUUACUUACUGUAACUGGAGGUUCUUAGUGAUGCAUGGUCCCUAUGUGUAUUCCACUGUUCACCCUUUUUCCUCUUCUUUGGCCUUAAUAACAUUGCAGUAGGACGACGAACUGGAGUGGUGUCAGCCCGCACUACCCCUUGUACUCUUGGUUGCUAGCAGAAGGGGAGACACUGUGCAUGGGUUUGUCAAAGGAUACUGCUUGGAGAAAACUUCUGGACUCAAGCAUGUAGGAUGCAUGUGCACCUACAGGUGGAAUACAGAUAGGGACCACACCUUUCCGAGAACCUCCAGUUACGUAUAGAUCGUGAUGGAAAACAUCUCUGAUGCACUGCAUCACCAAGUGGGGGAGACAGGCCUGUCUCAUUCUGUCAGGAGACCAUCAACUCUGGACAUGGUGCUACUGACCUGGGAUAACCAGGUUACCACUUGACUGGUGUACCUCUUUCACUGAACAUCAAGGCUCACUCCACCAGAGUUCGGGUGAUAUCCUUGUUCUGCUUCAGGAAUAUGCUAAUUGAGAUCUGCAAAGUGGUGAUGUGGAGUAACCAACUGAUUUGUCAAGCUUUAGGCCUUGGACUCAACUACCAAAGCAGAUGUUAAGUGUGGGAGUGGUAUGACAAUCUUUCUAAUGGAGCUGAUACUCCCUAUGCCACAAUCCAGGAAGGGUGCUGCUUGCCAGUCCCCAGCUGUGGAAUGUAAAUUGACAGAUGCUCAAAGGAAGAACAUGGUUGGUUACCUUAUAGUAACUGAGGCUAUCCAAACAGUUGUAAUCACUGUGGAUCCCAUAAUCUAUCUUCGUUUUAUGAGUUCUCAGCUACCAUUGAAUUGCAAGGGAACUGAGGGAUUAUCCUGGGUGCUCCUCCUUUAUGGCCUUGCACAGGACCAUGAGAUGUCAUAGGGCACUUUCAAGGCCUCAGUGAACACUGCUGUUCAGAAUAAUCUGAUCUCAUGUGCAUGAGACUCUCACUAACAACAUCUGGAAGAACCACAGCUAGUUUUAUUUUCACAGCCAAAAAACUGCUAUGCACCCUACAAAUAAAAAAGUGAUUACUAUCACCAGUCCUGUUUUUGUAGGCUAGAAAAUAGAUGUCUGUUUCCAUUAAAUUUAGAUAAUCCAUUUUCACUAAAUUCUUUAGCUAUUUCUAGUCUGGUCCUUCUAGUUUGUUUCUUUGGCAACACUUAGAGAAAAUUAGAUCCAGUUUUCUCCUAAAUAUAUAGUUUUCUUUAAACAGUUGAAUGCACUGCUCAUUCCCAAAUUAAUAAAACUAAUUAAUGUAAAACACUGUUGGAGACUUUCACCCCAGUUUUGAGUUGGGUCCUGAGACAUGGAGAGAAUUCGAAAUAGGCCUUUAACCACUUUUGUAUCCUCCAUUACAGCCCAUAAUUUGGAGAGUAGCCCAGAGUAGCCAGAGCACACUGCACUGCUGUCAUGUUCCCUUCUUUCCCAGGGGGCAUAGCUACACCUGGGGGCUUUGUGGGAGAGUGGCAUAGGGCUCUGUGUCAGCCCUAAGCUGAUUGGGUAAGCCCUGAACAUCAGGAGAUUCCCUGGUGAGAAAACCUGUUACUGGAGUGGCAUAAAGGAGACAGAUCCAGGCCUAACAAGCGACAGCUUGAGUUUUGAAGGAUCAAAUUUGCAAUAAAACAGAAUCUGUUAGCUAGUUUUCCCUUUCAGUAAACUUAAUACAAGUAUGUUCUUAAUAUUGUUUUCUGAAUUCUCAGAUUUUAGUUUAUAAGUCUUGAAUCAAAGAACCCAAAAGAAAUAAGUAGCUAAAGAAAAUUAUAAAGCUGUCUCCCAAUUCUUACUUCCUUUACAUUUUCCUGCAUAUGUUAUGAAACAAAACUCCUGCUUAAGUGACAUUGAAAUAAACUCAGGGCUGGUUUUGAGAACAGAGCUUACUUUUCAUCCAUAUCAUGUGCCUUUUGUUUAACAUCUUCCAGUUCAGCAAAGCAUUGUGUGACUAUAUCAGGGCCUUAAACUGGAGGCACACAGUGGGGAUGAAAAGUAGGCAUAUGUUGCAUUUAGUGCUGUUUUCUUUAUGAUAUUCCUGUAUGCAAACCUUUUCCUUUUUAUUUAAAUUUUUUUUUUUCUGUUGCUGAGUCUGUGAUAACUGGCAGCAGAACUAAUUAAAGAUUAGAAUAUUAGGGCCCCUUAUAAUUUGUCCUCCUCACUUCUUUGCAUCUUCUGACAAGAACAGUCAUGGCAGAAGUUGGCCAGAAAAUGUUUGGAAUGUUGAGUCUUAGUGUAGUCUACUUCUCUGCCUUGAGAUCAAGCCUGUUAAAGCUUCACUGCUUAUGUUUCUUGUAGUCUAAAUGCAUUUGGACCUUCCUGAGAUGGUGUUAUGGUUGAGUGUACAGAAAUAGGAAUUCUUGUCUGUUUUGCCUUUUUAAUAAAACAUAUUACACCUCUACCCUGAUAUAACACAGACCUCAGACAAAACUCGCUGCGUUCUAGGUGAGACCUCAUUAUAUCAAACUUGCUUUGCCCCCCUCCAGACGCCCCUAUCCCUAAUCACCCCCAGGACCCCACCCCCUACCCAAUCCCCCUGGCCCCGGACUGCCCCGAUCCCUAUCUACCUGGCCCUGCCGCCUGACAGGCACUCACUGGUAGCGGCAGGAAGCGGACCGGCCCCAGUCUGUUCCACUCUGCCAGCUCCCAGCUGUGGUGCUUCACUGGGCCUUGCUAAACCAGGAUUUGGCUGUACUGGCAAGUGUCUGUGCAAUAAGUUAUACCACUUUUAAUAAAAUGCUGGAAUUAAACCACUGUUGCAUGUCCACACUGUGUUCCGUGUGAUAGUGGAGGGCAUCCACAUUAGAAGCACUUGCAAGGGCAGAGAGAGCAGUGGUAGCUAGCCCACUGUGCAACUGACUGCAGGGUGCUUUGGGAAGGGUUUGCAAUGCCUCAUGGGGCAGCA